rnacentral:rRNA from 1 species
AAUAAGCUAAAUAAGGGCGUAUGGGGAAUGCCUAGGCUCUCAGAGGCGAAGAAGGACGUGAUAAGCUGCGAAAAGCUGCGGGGAUCGGCACACACGAAUUGAUCCGCAGAUAUCCGAAUGGGGCAACCCACUAUAUUGAAGAUAUAGUAUCCGCAAGGAGGCAAACCCGGAGAACUGAAACAUCUAAGUACCCGGAGGAGAAGAAAACAAAAGUGAUUCCGUUAGUAGUGGCGAGCGAACGCGGAUUAGCCCAAACCGGUGUUGUUACGGCAAUACCGGGGUUGUAGGACCACGAUAUUCGAAGCGCGAUGAACUGGAACUGUUUGGAAAGACAGACCAUAGGGGGUGAUAGUCCCGUACAGGCAAAGAACGUGAAGAUAGUGGUAUCCUGAGUAGCGCGGGACACGAGUAAUCCUGUGUGAAACAGUCGGGACCAUCCGAUAAGGCUAAAUACUCCUGAGAGACCGAUAGUGAACUAGUACCGUGAGGGAAAGGUGAAAAGAACCCUGAAUAAGGGAGUGAAAUAGAACCUGAAACCAUACGCUUACAAGCGGUCGGAGCCCAUUGGGGUGACGGCGUGCCUUUUGCAUAAUGAGCCUACGAGUUACCGUUGCUAGCAAGGUUAAGGACUUCAGGUCCGGAUCCGUAGCGAAAGCGAGUCUGAACAGGGCGCUUAAGUUAGUAGUG